rnacentral:misc_RNA from 1 species
GUGAAUCAUCGAAUUUUUGAACGCAAAUUGCACUCUCUGGUAUUCCGGAGAGUAUGCCUGUUUGAGGGUCAGUUUAAAUAAAAAUCGGUGUGGUUGCUGCCUUACGUGGUGACGCAUCGGCUUUGGGUCGUCUUGCCUUCGGUUAAGUGACCUAAAACUCUGCAUGAUUUUUUUCGAACGUAAUUAAAUGAUUUUACGUCCGUUUUCUGUAUCUAAUAAUAGGUGUUGUCUACCUCAUGAUUUGCUCUGAUAAUU